rnacentral:rRNA from 1 species
UACGUAAGGGGCAAGCGUUAUCCGGAAUUAUUGGGCGUAAAGCGUCCGUAGGUGGUUAUGCAAGUCUGUCAUUAAAUACCGACACUCAAUAUCGGAAUAGUGAUGGAAACUGUGUAACUAGAGGAUGGGAGAGGUAUAUGGAAUUGUGCAAGUAGGGGUAAAAUCCGUAGAUAUGCACAGGAACACCAAAAGCGAAGGCAAUAUACUGGACCAUUACUGACACUCAGGGACGAAAGCGUGGGGAGCAAAACGG